GGAAAAUUAUGCCGAUAAACAGGAUGGAAUUUGGGAAAAAAUGUUAUAAAUCGAGUGGCUCAUUUACGAUGUGCUCCAAACAUUUGCGAACUAUUUUUCGCCUUUUCAACGUGCUAAGUAACAAGUUAAGAUGACUGCCAUCAUGGGCCGGUAAGAAACCGCAAGCAAAGGGCAGACAACCUUCCAGGAAGCUGCCUCCUGUCCCCGAGCCGAAGCUGCAGUUCCGCAAGAGCAGGACAGCCAAUUGCUACCCUGAUCAAACGUAAACUAAAGCGCUCUGCUGUGAUUGCACUCCUUAAAUGUGAAAACUUGGUGCAUGCUGAGAAAUAUAAACAAGAAAACUCCGUGAUGGACGCCGUGAGAUGGAGUAACGCUGUGUGGCAAAGAAAUGCGGCCAAUUCGACGGGCCUGAAAAAUCCAAAUUGGCUUUUAUGAUCCGCAUCCGCGGUAUCAACAAAGUUGCACAAAAAGUGCGUAGUUUUACAGUUCUGUCUUCGCCACAUUAAAACGGUGUGUUCAUCAAAUUGACCAAGGCAACCAUUAAUAGCUACGUAUGCCGAACCCCUAUAUGGGGUUAUCCAAAUCUUAAAUCAGUUUGUGAAUUGAUGUACAAACGGAAUGGUCAAGCGUGUCCCAAUCUCUGCUUUGUGAUCGAACGCAAAUUUCGCGAAGCGCACGAAAUUCAGUGCGUUGAUUCACUUCACUUCAAGAAAGCCCCCAACUUCCUGUUGCUAUUCAAGCUCAACACAUCAACCCGAGGCUGGCGC